rnacentral:rRNA from 1 species
CCUACGGGGGGCUGCAGUGGGAAAUAUUGGACAAUGGGCGAAAGCCUGAUCCAGCCAUGCCGCGUGUGUGAAGAAGGCCUUCGGGUUGUAAAGCACUUUCAGUGGGGAAGAAAGCCUUGGGGCUAAUACCCUCGAGGAAGGACAUCACCCACAGAAGAAGCACCGGCUAACUCCGUGCCAGCAGCCGCGGUAAUACGGAGGGUGCGAGCGUUAAUCGGAAUUACUGGGCGUAAAGCGCGCGUAGGCGGUCUGAUAAGCCGGUUGUGAAAGCCCCGGGCUCAACCUGGGAACGGCAUCCGGAACUGUCAGGCUAGAGUGCAGGAGAGGAAGGUAGAAUUCCCGGUGUAGCAGUGAAAUGCGUAGAGAUCGGGAGGAAUACCAGUGGCGAAGGCGGCCUUCUGGACUGACACUGACGCUGAGGUGCGAAAGCGUGGGUAGCAAACAGGAUUAGAUACCCGUGUAGUC